rnacentral:snRNA from 1 species
AUACUUACCUGGCAGGGGAGAUACCGUGAUCACGAAGGUGGUUUUCCCAGGGCGAGGCUUAUCCAUUGCACUCCGGAUGUGCUGACCCCUGCAAUUUCCCCAAAUGUGGGAAACUUGACAGCAUAAUUUGUGGUAGUGGGGACUGCGUUCGUGCUUUCCCCU